ACCUCUAUAGCUCAGUUGGUAGAACAGGAGACUCCUAACCUUAGGGUCAUGGGUUCGAGCCCCAUGUUGGGGAA